rnacentral:rRNA from 1 species
AUGACCAAGGACGUGGAGAUGGCGGCGCGGAACGGCAGCAACGGCGCCGUCGCCGGCGAGGCCUACUACCCCCCUCCCCCGGCGCAGGGCGGCGACGUCGACGUGGACGACGACGGCAAGCAGCGGCGAACAGGCACGGUAUGGACAGCGAGCGCGCACAUCAUCACGGCCGUCAUCGGCUCCGGCGUGCUGUCCCUCGCCUGGGCGACGGCGCAGCUGGGCUGGGUCGUCGGGCCGGUCACCCUGAUGCUCUUCGCAGCAAUCACCUUCUACACCUCCGGGCUCCUCGCCGACUGCUACCGCACCGGCGAUGCGCUCACCGGGAAGAGAAACUACACCUACAUGGACGCCGUCGCAUCCUACUUGAGUCGGCCGCAAGUGUGGGCCUGUGGUGUUUUUCAGUACGUCAACUUGGUCGGAACUGCAAUCGGGUACACGAUCACGGCGUCCAUCAGCGCGGCUGCUAUAAACAAGGCCAACUGCUUCCACAAGAACGGCCGGGCGGCCGACUGCGGCGUGUACGACUCCAUGUACAUGGUGGUGUUCGGGGUCGUCCAGAUCUUCUUUUCCCAGGUCCCCAACUUCCACGACCUGUGGUGGCUCUCCAUCCUCGCGGCGGUCAUGUCGUUCACCUACGCCUCCAUCGCCGUCGGCCUCUCCCUGGCGCAGACCGUAUCAGGUCCAACCGGCAAGGCCACCCUGACCGGCACCGAGGUUGGAGUGGACGUCGAUUCGGCCCAGAAGAUCUGGCUCGCGUUCCAGGCGCUCGGUGACAUCGCCUUCGCCUACUCCUACUCGAUGAUCCUCAUAGAAAUCCAGGACACGGUGAGGUCGCCGCCGGCGGAGAACAAGACGAUGAAGAAGGCGACCCUGGUGGGAGUCUCCACCACGACGGCCUUCUACAUGCUGUGCGGCUGCCUCGGCUACGCGGCGUUCGGCAACGGCGCCAAGGGGAACAUCCUCACCGGCUUCGGCUUCUACGAGCCCUACUGGCUCAUCGACUUCGCCAACGUCUGCAUCGUGGUGCACCUGGUGGGCGCCUACCAGGUGUUCUGCCAGCCCAUCUUCGCCGCCGUCGAGGGCUUCGCGGCCGCGACCUGGCCCAACGCCGGGUUCAUCACCCGCGAGCACCGCGUCGCCACCGGCAAGCGGCUCGGCUUGAACCUCAACCUCUUCAGGCUGACGUGGAGGACGGCGUUCGUGAUCGUGAGCACGCUGCUCGCCAUCCUCAUGCCCUUCUUCAACGACAUCCUCGGCUUCCUGGGCGCCAUCGGGUUCUGGCCGCUCACCGUCUACUUCCCCGUGGAGAUGUACAUCCGGCAGCGCGGGAUACCGAGGUACACGACGAGGUGGGUGGCGCUGCAGACGCUCAGCUUCCUCUGCUUCCUGGUGUCGCUGGCUGCGGCGGUCGCGUCCAUCGAGGGGGUCACGGAGUCGCUCAAGAACUACGUCCCUUUCAAGACCAAGUCAUGA